rnacentral:rRNA from 1 species
UACGAAGGGGGCUAGCGUUGCUCGGAAUCACUGGGCGUAAAGCGCACGUAGGCGGAUUGUUAAGUCAGGGGUGAAAUCCUGGAGCUCAACUCCAGAACUGCCCUUGAUACUGAUGGUCUCGAGUCCGGGAGAGGUGAGUGGAACUGCGAGUGUAGAGGUGAAAUUCGUAGAUAUUCGCAAGAACACCAGUGGCGAAGGCGGCUCACUGGCCCGGUAUGACGCUGAGGUGCGAAAGCGUGGGAGCAACAGG